rnacentral:rRNA from 1 species
GAUCAUUACUGAGUGCGG